rnacentral:lncRNA from 1 species
UCCUCUCGUCGCCUGGGUGGACAUGGAGACCAGCCCGAAGACACUCACCAUUUUCUGUGGAUGGAUCUGUGCGCACGUAGGACUACCCGGUCCCGAUCCCCUGUAAAGAGACAGAGGGAGGUAGGACCGGACCAAAGGGGGUCCGCAUGGGCUAAAUUCCUCUUUGGGUCGCAGAUACCACCAGGGAUCCCCAAAGCCAUGUGUUAUCAAGUAGAGUAACAGCUUGGUGGACCAGAACUUCACAGCCCGUCAGAUACAUUCACUCUGUGCAUCCCAGAUACCAUCAGAGACACACCUCUACUCAAAGCCGUUUGUUAUCAAAUACGGUGACAGCUUGGAGAACCUGAACUUUGCGUGUGCGCGCAGGGCAGACAUGCAUGAAUUGUAACUUAAAAGAAAUGUUGCCAUCCAGGGCUUUGGUCAGACCAGACUUAACGUUUGGGACCCGUGAGAUGGCUUAGCAGGAGAGUGCUCCUGCUGCCAAGCCUGACAACCUGAGUUCGAUCCCGGGACCCAUAUGGUGGAAGGCGAGUACUCCCUCACAUCUCAACUGCCUGUUCUGAGACAGUCCACAGCUGUUACGGGAGAAAAUCCAGUCAUACUUAAGGCAGGGGUUAAAAUCCACAAUUUACAUAGAACUGCCAAAGUUAAAUACCGAGGGAACAAAGCUGCCACCUGGACUGGUGAAGGGAACAGACUUUGGCUCCAUCCAGGGGCUGCCCUUAGCAGAGGAUGGGGGGUGUGGAUACCUGCCCCUGCCUCCGUGCUGCCAUGGCAACCACUCCAGAGCACAUCCCUAAAACCACGCCAUGACUCUGGGGCCCGCCCCUUGGCCGACCUUCUCAUCUGUUUCCUGAGUCGCCUCCCUGCGACGACUUUGGAUUCCUGUCUUGGGGGUCUGCCCCUAGAGGAUCUCAAAUUCUUCCCAGCACCCCGAGGACAGUCAACACCCACCAAGGGGGUCCUCUCCUCCCCCACAGUCCCUCGUCCUCGCGCCACAGACCGACAGUCCACAGCUGGCAACAGCCCAGAGACCUGGUGGGCUGGGGCAGGCACUGUGGUAGCGGCUGAUGCAGCGGGGUGCCGGGCCCCUGCUAGUAAACAAGAAACAACUCAACAAAAAGAAACACCCGUGGGUACAGAGAAAGAAGAAUGACCGCCAUAGCCAUUCUAGAAAGCACAGCAAGCCCACAGCUGAGGUGUCGAAGCUGCAGGAAAGAGGAUCCCAGCUGUUCCGGAGGCUGAGCCCGGAGACUGGAAACCGUUUGAGAGCAUGACGGAUGUCAAGACUUCCAGGCCAGCCUAGACUACUGAGGAACCCUGACUCAAAAUGCAAAAAUAAAAUAAAGCAAGAUG